UUCUCGAAAACAGGUCAUGGAGUUUACUUAGGUGCUUGUUUUUCUCAAAAAUCCAUGUCGGGUGGGAUUGUAGGUGCAGCCGUCACUGUGGAAAGACAUUCGAGACAUUUUUUCCCCACUUGUUAGCAUGAUCUGAGGCAGACAUCAUUUCAAAAAGGAUUAAAAACAUGCCGACUGUCUAUCACUACACAAAUAAAGCAGGGCACGAUGCCAUAAGACGGACUCGCUAUAUUGCGAAAAGCAGGGUUGAGGUAAAGGAUGCAGUAUACGGAGACGGAGUUUAUCUUACUCACUUCUCACCAGAGAACGACAAAAUAAUGGUCGCAAAAAUUGUUGGGGCAAUGCCUAUGAAUCAGCAUUAAAAAACGGAAAACUUGAGUAUGUCAUCGUGAUCGACAUACCGAUGGGAGACCUACGUCAGAUACAAGAAGGAGGAAGGAUUCUAUUCUUGUAUGAGGAAGAUUUGAUGCUUGGAGACUACCAGCACGAUUGCAUAGAGUGCAAAUGGAAGAAUAAUUAGAUUUAAAUAAAGGUCUUGUUCUUAGUGUGGCUGGGGGACUAAUGUGUCACAUGCUCUUAACCUGAACGAUUCGGGGCCUGCUUUUGUUCUGCGGAUGACACGAUCAGUCACAGGGAGACCAUUGUACCUACCGUCUCAGUUGUGUCACUAAGACACCUGCUCCUGAUUGCUACCAGCCAUCUUUGAAACAUUUAUCAAGAUCAGUCACAGGUGGACCAUUCUUUCGUCUCAAUUGUGUCACUACGACACCUGCUCCUGAUUACUACCAGCCAUCUUUGAAACAUUGUUUUGAUUAUCUUCCAAGUCGAUAAAUCUAUUCUACUAAUGUGCCACGCAAUGAAGAUGACAUAAUAUCGCCGUUUCUUAUCCUUUUCUCCUCACACUUCAGUGUCAUAAAUGCUUGAAACUUAUCGCAUUGUACAAAAAUCUAGUUGGAAAUUUCAUUAUUUAACUAUUUUUUUAGAUUUCAAUUGUGCUACUGUAUCAUUCCUCAUGGUGUGCAUUAAACGCAUUUAGCGUGAAUUAUAAACAUUUAAUAACCAUUAUUUAAAUAUAAUAUUUACAGAAAAUAUUUAUAUUUAAAAUAAAGUAAAAGAGAAAAAAACACACAAAAAUUCAUCUGACAUUCUAAUCGAUAUACUUUUAAAGCGUAUUUUUAAGUUAAUGCUAAGUGUUUUAAUGAGACAUCAUUUGAAAUGGUUGACUAUUGGUAGUUUUCUUUAGAUGCGAUGAUAAUAUUAUUGUUUGUUACGUUUUGUUUUAGCUAUCGUUCUUGCUUCUAAAACUCUUUAUACUGUACACAUUUUCCUUUCUUAAUAAAUUCGUCUGCUUCUACUUUAUUCAAAAUUACCUUUUAUUUGGUGAGCAGAAAAUUAAAAAGGUUGUAUUGUU